rnacentral:rRNA from 1 species
GACGAACGCUGGCGGCGUGCUUAACACAUGCAAGUCGAACGGCAACACCCUGCUAUUUUGCGGUUCUCGAGUGCCGAACGCGUGAGUGACACGUGAGUAACCUGCCCUUCUUUUUUGGAUAACUUCAGGAAACUGGAGCUAAUCCCAUAUAGCAUCUCCUGCUGCAUGGUGGGGGUUGGAAAGUUUCGGCUGUUGGGGAUGGACUCGCGGCUUAUCAGCUUGUUGGUUGGGUAGUGGCUUACCAAGGCUUUGACGGGUAGCCGGCCUGUGAGGGUGACCGGCCACAUUGGGACUGAGAGACGGCCCAGACUCCUACGGGAGGCAGCAGUGGGGAAUAUUGCACAAUGGGCGGAAGCCUGAUGCAGCAACGCCGCGUGCGGGAUGACGGCCUUCGGGUUGUAAACCGCUUUCGCCUGUGACGAAGCGUGAGUGGCGGUAAUGGGUAAAGAAGCACCGGCUAACUACGUG